rnacentral:sRNA from 1 species
CGUUAGUGCCUGUGUGACCUAGUGGACGAAUCGUACUGUCGGUGGCAGUUAUAGUCCGGAAUUUUUCUACUUCACACACGACCCCCGAUUCCCAAAAUAAUAACACACACACUUUUUUGUAUUGAAUUCGAUUCUUUUGUUUUGUAAAAUCGGAACCAAGGGUGUCAGAGCCGGAGACGAACGUCGUCCGCCAGCGCCGAUCCAAUCGUUCAACCGUCCUGUCGCACCGUCGAUCCCCAAUCGUCGUCCGGGUGUUACGACUAUGCAGUAUUAGCAGUCAAAAAAAAAAAAAGGAAUACGCCCCAUUAUCAUUAUUUAACUUCAAAUCAAAUCUGAGCAAAUUAAGUCGCACCUCCAUCGCGAGUGAAACGUUCAAAUUGUAAAUCGGAAUAACAGUAAGACCUCAUCAGAAUCGGGAAUCGAGAAAAAUUCAAGGACUCCAGGACUAUCAGCGUAGAUACAUACAUACAUAUAUCAAAGAAGAGUAAAUGAGUGCCACAAAGUCGAAGAGAGAGAGAGAGAGAUAGCGCCAGGAGUGGAAAUAUAAAGCGAUUAAAUAGCGAAGAGAAAAUUUGACUCAAAAAAGUGAGGUUAUCUUCACCCGAAUAACGGUAACUCGACAGCUAAAGAGCGAAACGGUACCUGAGUAUUCGUAUUUUGGUCGUGUCAGGUGCAUUUAUUUUUCGCGUUUCGUUUCCUGUGUUCCAUGUUCAAGAUCCUGGACGACUCCUCUUCCCAGACCCCUUGAGUAUAGCUCACCUCCAUAAAGUUUUGGUUCCAUACUUGGAAUUCGAGUUGUGUUCGUAAUUCUAUAUAUUUUUUUAUUUUAUAUCUUGUGCAAAUUGCCAGUUGACGUAUUGUCAGUGAAAGCCCCAUAUAUCAUCCACUAUACAAUUCAAUAUACAGUUCGUAUCAAGCAGACGGUAGCCGAGAUCUCAGUAUAUAUUGAGCAAUAUAUAGGGGUCCGCCACCACCCACUCCAAAUAUCCUUUGUCCUGUCGGUAUAAUCGGCGGGAAUCUUUUCUAGAUAUUCCCGUGGCGUUGGUUAGCCAGCGAACAAAACCAUCAAAUUGGCGCCAGUUCAGGGAACUGGUGAUGCUUUUGCCCCAUCUGGCGGCGCCUCUUCCCCGCGUCACCGCCCGCCGGGCAAGCCGAAAACUGUUCAGGAACUGAUUCUGGAGGCUGCCCACCGCCGGCGACGUCAUUUCCUCGGGGUGCGAGGGGACACCACCACCACCACCACCACCACCAGUCCGCACAACGCUCCUCCUCCUCCUCCUCCUCCGCCUUACGACCAUCAUCACCUGGUGCCGGAACACAAGCCCCCCAAGGAGCGCAAGGACAAGACCCGUGUGAGGGAGCGCGAGCGAGAACGGGAACGCGAAAAGGAGCGUGAGCGCGAGCGCGAGCGAGACAGAGACCGCGAGCGAGA